UUCCGGUUGAUCCUGCCGGACCCGACUGCUAUCAGAGUGAGAUUAAGCCAUGCGAGUCAACGUAGUAACACGUGGCACACGGCUCAGUAACACGUAGUCAACAUAACCAAGGGACGUGGAUAAACUCGGGAAACUGAGGCUAAACCGCGAUAGAUCAAGAUACCUGGAAUGGUUUUUGAUCAAAAUCUAUAUGGCCUUUGGAUUGGACUGCGUCCGAUCAGGCUGUUGGUGAGGUAAUGGCCCACCAAACCUGUAACCGGUACGGGCUCUGAGAGGAGGAGCCCGGAGAUGGGUACUGAGAAAAGGACCCAGGCCCUAUGGGGCGCAGCAGGCGCGAAACCUCUGCAAUAGGCGAAAGCCUGACAGGGUUACUCUGAGUGACUUUCGCUAAGAAAGUCUUUUGGCACCUCUAAAAAGGGUGCAGAAUAAGGGGUGGGCAAGUCUGGUGUCAGCCGCCGCGGUAAUACCAGCACCCCGAGUGGUCGGGACGAUUAUUGGGCCUAAAGCAUCCGUAGCCGGUUCUGCAAGUCUUCCGUUAAAUCCAGCCGCUCAACGGAUGGGCCGCGGAGGAUACUACAGGACUAGGAGGCGGGAGAGGCAAGCGGUACUCAGUGGGUAGGGGUAAAAUCCUUUGAUCCAUUGAAGACCACCAGUGGCAAGGCGGCUUGCCAGAACGCGCUCGACGGUGAGGGAUGAAAGCUGGGGGAGCAAACCGGAUUAGAUACCCGGGUAGUCCCAG
rnacentral:rRNA from 1 species